ACUCUCCUCAGCGGCUGCAGUGGAUGCUGCGGGAUGGGAGCUGCUUGGGGCGAGUUAGCAUGCUCGGAAAGCUUGCGUGGCAGGAAAGCUUCCGGCAUGGGUGUGGAGAACGGAAUGCUGCCUUAAAGUCUGUUUGGCCUCUGCUGGUCAUGGGCUACCAUCCCUGCUUGCAUUCACUACUGCCUCUUUUCUUUUAUCUUUUUAGAGAUGGGGGUCUUACCUGUCUCCGAAGCUAGAGUGUAGUGGCGCAGUCCAUAGCUCACUGCAGCCUUGACUUCCCGGGCUCAAGCGAUCCUCCCGCCUCAACCUCCAGAGUAACUGGAAACCACAGGUGUGCACCACCGCACCCGGCUAAUUUUCUUUCUUUCUUUCUUUCUUUUUUUUUAAGGCGAGGGUCUCACCACAGUUGCCCAGUCUGGUGUCGAACUACUGGCCUCAAGCUGUUUCCCGCCUCGACCUCCUAAAGUGUUGGGAUUAUGGGUCCUAGCCACCACUCGUGGAACCGCCGCGUCUUUUCCUUUUUUUUUUUUUCUUUUUCUUUUUGAGGCAAGGUCUUGCUCUGCCUUCCAGGCUGAGUGCAGUGGCGCCAUCAUGUCCCACUGCGACCUCGACCUCCAGGGCCCAAGUGAUCCCCCUUCCUCAGCCUUGCCUUGGGCAGGGAUUACAGGUGCCCAGCUAGUUUUACCACUGUGUCUUUUCUAUGCAUUUCCUUGGACUCACCGGUAAGGGUGAGUCCGCUAGUGGAUUCUCUUGCCUUGCUAAGACAAAACCAACUUUGCACCUCUGACCUAUGCCAUUUGGCAAAUAUCUGGCUUGGGGGAAAGCAAGGAAGCCUUUUAGGCUUUUAUAAACAAGCUUUCUCAGAAUACCAAAUGCAGUAUCACUUAGGGCCCUUUGAGAAUAGGUGUGAAUGCUAGCCAGAGGUCAAAAGCGGUGGAGAAAGUCGUGACCUGCAUUCCGGGGCAAGAUAGACUAUAGAAAAUACUUCUACCGAGUCUUUUUGUAAUACCCGCCUUUGUAAGGGAAAGCCAGAGGUAGUGGGAGACUUUUGCUAUAUUCUGAGCUGUGAUCAAAUGCUAAAUUAACAGGGCCUAAACAUUCGAAUUGAACCCAGAGGUUGUCCUAACAUUUUAGAGAUAGGGAGACUGAACCUGUAGGUGAUGUAGGCUGUACUCCGGUCCCCACCUUUCCGGUGGAAUGUGAAUUCCAGGAAUUGAGAGACUUGGGUCUUGCUCUUAUAUUUCCAUCCCCUAACACCGUGCUUGGCACAUAAUUGGACCUAAUUAAUAUUUACUAAGUGAAUGAGUAGAUGGAAAGCGAGUUUCCAAGGUUUGUCAGACAGUGGUGAAGCCAAGAUUACUAUCCAGGUCCCUUGACCCUAGCCAGGGCUUUUAAUUAUCUUUGGGCAGUAUGACUGGCAGGGUCCCAGCUCAGGUCACUCCAGCCGCUUAUGUAAAUUAACUCAGAAGAAGGUAAAUGACUGUCUAACUUUUCAAAUUCUGGUAACUACCCCAUUGGGAGCUUGAAGCUCUCAUGGCUAAUUAGAAAAAGGAAAUUACCAUCCUUGGAUUUCAUCACUGAUUUGUUGAGCAUCUGUUGCUCUGUGCAUGAAGCACUUCACGCUUAACUCUUUCAUUAGCUGGUGUUCUGAAACAGAAGACAAGACUGUUAACAAGGCCGUCACCAAAUAAUAUUUACCAUACCCACCACGUGCCUGGCAGGACUAGCAUAACUGGAGCCUGAAGGGAGAUAAGGAAAAUAUUAGAAUUUAAACCCUAAAGCAAGAGUAGAUAUUAACAGGUUGGGGUAAAUGCAGAAAACAGCAACAACAACAACAAAACACUAGGUCCACAGAAGACACACUACCUCUGAUGUACCAAGUUAGCAGCAGACAAAAACAAAGAGGUGAAGAUUUGAAACAUUAACAUAUGAAUGCAUUUUUAAAAAUCUUUUUAGUUUGUCUGGGGGCAGUGGACUAUGCAAGACUGUGUAUUGGCAGUAGGAAUCCUUGUCCACUCUGUAUCUCAAUGUGGAAAGGCUUCCUGGAGGAGGUGGUACUUCAGGAAACCUUCAAAGCAGAAAUGAUAGCAGCUUUGGAACUGGAUGUUGUUUUUGGCCCUUGGAAGCUAAGAGAAGACAAGGCCUUGCAGGUGACAGCAAAGAGAUUAGGGAGGCAAAUCUGAUUUCUCGUGAGUUCAAAUAAUUAUCUAUAAUGUAAUUAUGUAAUUAAAAUUAAUAUGCAUGAAAAUUGCUACAUGAUCAGAACGAUUGAAGAGUAUAAGUUUUCAGGAAGUGAGUUGUUUUUAUUCUGAUGGUUUCCGUGACUGUUUUCCCUUCCUCAACUGUAAGCUCCUCAGAAGGAUCCCAAAACUUAGCAUAGAAUAACUUGUAACGUUUUUGCUAUAUACUGUA
rnacentral:lncRNA from 1 species